AAAAAAUUUUUGGAAUAAUUGAAUAUUUUUGAAAUGCAAAAAAGAAGGGAUAAUAGUCAAACCCAUACCAAUUUAAUCUGAUUUGACUAUAAUGGGUUGCCCGCAUGAGUCCUUCAGUGCUUGCAAAUCCUGUGGAAUCAAGCUCAUGGGAUUUAAUAAAUGUUCAAUGCCAGCUUUAAGAUAUUAUAAUAUCCUUUUAUCUAGACAUGGGCUGUGAUCAGGGAUGUAAGCCAGGCAUUGAUCAGACAUACAGCUUGGGAAUGUGCUUUAGUUGGAAAAGAAUAUUUAUUCAGACCAUUUUAGGUCAUGAUAUGUAAAAAAUGUUGUGGAAUUUUGUCCUGUCCAUCUAAUCUUUGUCGUUUGAUGGGUGGAUUCAGAUUUCUGGUUAUUUGACAGAGAUCACUUUGAACAUGACACUAACAUUGGUGGCUUUGAAGUUGAACACAUGGGAAUAUAUAUAAACAACUUAGCCUGCAUGAUGUUCUUAUUGCUUUUGCUUUUUAAUUACCGGCUUGGGUGUGCUAAUUCAUGGGUUGAUGGAAGGAAUGCUUCUUGGUCCACAUGAUUUUUUUUUUCAAUUUUCUUUUUUGCAUAUAUUCCUCUGAGCAAACUCCUAUAUAUCCUUUUGUUUAAUGUUUUCAGUUAGUCCUGUUUAAGCUGGGGCAUGAUCUUGGUUAGGUUUAUAUUACGUGUAU
rnacentral:misc_RNA from 1 species